rnacentral:lncRNA from 1 species
CGAUGGCAGAGUUCCAAUAACACCUUCUGUUUGGGCUUUUGGUUUAAAAAUAACAUUUCCUAUACUUACAGUGGAAAGAAGGGCAGUUAAUAGAUUAUGGGUUUUUUUAUAUAUUUUUUUAUCUCGUCUCCAUAAAAAAACUUCAUGAGCAGAAAUCCACUUGAAUGCAACAACUGAACAAUGCUGAUCGUCAGCUCUGACAGCACAGAAGUAUAUAAAUUAUAAAAGUGAAUUUGUUUCUAUUCCCUAAACUAAUGAUUAUACAAGACAAGGUAUGAAUGAUGUAAUGUGAUGGAUAUGAAGUGACUUAAUGUAAUGUGUGGAAUGAUGGAAUGGAAGCUAGAUGUUUUAGUAAAACCAUUCUUAAAGUGACGGUGUGUAUUUUUCCUGGCGAUAGGGGGCAGUAGAUACUUAAAUUGUUGCAAGCAAGCGGUAUUUUUGUUUUGGAGUAAGACCUUACCAACAGAUGUUUAUUAGGGUCAAAAAGCCCUGGAGAGUGCAAACUUCAGCAAAAUAACAAGCACAUCAGACUCCCUUUCAUCACUGGCAACGAGUGAAAAGAUAAAUGUGUAAAACAACAAUAUUUAUGAAUAGUGAAAGUGUUGUAAUAAUUUGUUACAAAUCAGCAAAUGCAAUUUGUCCUCAUGGGCUCCCGUAGAAGGAAAAAUGGCAUCUAACAUGGCAUUGUCCAGAGACUUAGACCCACUCCCAUGGAUUUUAGACCAGAUUUUUAUGGUUAUAUAGUACGUAGCUGCCAAUAUUUUUCAACAACUGGGCAUCGUUUAAUUAAUUUUGAACAACAUUUUGAUAUUUACAGAGAUUAAUGGUUAAAAACUACACGCUGACUCUUUGACGCUUUGAAGCAUGAAUUACGAAAUAUUCAACCUUGAUUUUUUUAACAAUUUUUUUCAUUCAUCUUUAGGUGUGAAUGAAACAAAUUUCAACAAAUAUUUUGUAACAUUUAAUAAUCUACCUGUUUGUGUGUUUGUCCGCAUCUGUGUGAACCAGUUGGUAAUAGCUGGCCUACAACUUUCUGCCUCUCUAUCCUGUUUGCUCCAGUUGAAAGACACCCCAAACCACACCCCUUUCACGUGGUCACACGCACACACCCACACACAAGUUUGCUGUGUGUGUGUGUGUGUGUGUGUGUGUGUGUGUGUGUGUGUUGUUUUUAUGCAGUGUCUGUUUAUGAACACAUUGACUAUCACGGAAUUGUAUUUUGACAUGCUUUAUUUUGUUAAAUUUACCGGCCUGCCUCUUAUGUCUAGGUUUGACUUCCUGCCAGAAUUGACGCGGUUCACCCGCGGCUCGCGAAAAAAAUAG